GACGGAGGGUGCAAGCGUUAAUCGGAAUGACUGGGCGUAAAGCGCACGCAGGCGGUUUGUUAAGUCAGAUGUGAAAUCCCCGGGCUCAACCUGGGAAAUGCAUUUGAAACUGGCAAGCUAGAGUCUCGUAGAGGGGGGUAGAAUUCCAGGUGUAGCGGUGAAAUGCGUAGAGAUGUGGAGGAAUACCGAAGGCGAAGGCAGCCCCUUGGGAAUGUACUGACGCUCAUGUGCGAAAGCGUGGGGAGCAAACGGG
rnacentral:rRNA from 1 species